AGUGAAUAGAUACCCAGGUAGUCCUGGCCUUAAACGAUGUAUACUGGGUGUGGGAGAUUCAUUUCUUCCGUGCCGACGGCAAACCCAUUAAGUAUACCGCCUGGGGACUACGAUCGCAAGAUUGAAACUCAAAGAAAUUGACGGGGAUCCGCACAAGUGGUGGAGCAUGUGGUUUAAUUCGACGCUACGCGAAGAACCUUACCUGGGCUUGACAUACAUGUGUAAGACUUAUGAAAGUAGGUCCCUCUGCCAGCAAUGGUAGACGCAUGAACAGGUGUUGCAUGGUUGUCGUCAGCUCGUGCCGUGAGGUGUUGGGUUAAGUCCUCUAACGAGCGCAACCCCGUAUUGCCAGUUGCCAUCAUUAAGUUGGGAACUCUGGCGAGUCUGCCCGGGGUAUAACCGGGUAGGAAGGCGGGGAUGACGUCAAAUCAUCAUGGCCCUUAUGUCCAGGGUCGACACACGUGCUACAAUGGCAUAUACAAA
rnacentral:rRNA from 1 species